CCUACGGGAGGCUGCAGUGAGGAAUAUUGGUCAAUGGACGAGAGUCUGAACCAGCCAAGUCGCGUGAAGGAUGACUUCCCUAUGUGUUGUAAUCUUCUUUUAUAUGGGAAUAAAACAGGGUAUGCAUACCCUCAUGUAUGUACCACUUGAUUAAGGAUGGGGUAACUACGUGCCAGCAGCCGCGGUAAUACGGAGGAUCCGAGCGUUAUCCGGAUUUAUUGGGCUUACAGGGAGCGUAGGUGGAGUGUUAAGUCAGUUGUGAAAGGUUGCGGCUCAACCGUAAAAUUGCAGUUGAAACUGGCAGGCUGGAGUACAGUAGAGGUGAGCGGAAUUCGUGGUGUAGCGGUGAAAUGCUUAGAUAGCACGAAGAACUCCGAUUGCGAAGGCAGCUCACUGGACUGCAACUGACACUGAUGCUCGAAAGUGUGGGUAUCAAACAGGAUUAGAUACCCUUGUAGUC
rnacentral:rRNA from 1 species